CAACUUGGUCUGAUCAGUGAACAGAAGCUUCGCUAAUUCAGCUGUAGCGACAGCGCCGUGUGCCAGUGGGUGCUGGGGAAGGACCUACAGCCCCACGAGGAAAAUGUGGCAACGUUCUUAGCUGCCCAGCAGGAAUGAGCACACUUUGGUUAAGACUUUGUGCACCUUGCUGUAUAUCCUACAGAAAUUUUUUUUGAUGAAAAAUGUCAUCUUUAAAUGGAUGAGGAGAAAAGGACAGUCCAAGCUAGUAAUACAAGCAGCUAAUGCUGCUCACUAGUCUCUAGACAGGUCUCCUUGUCAUGCCUGAUCCUUGGAGAGCUUGGAUUUAGUAAGGACCUCUUGUGGUCACAGUUCUUCAGUCUUUGAGUAACUAUGGACUCUUCUUUGCCGCUGGACAUUUGGUCUUGUACUGACUAUGUGUCCUCGGCACCCAAGGGGAUGUCUCCAUGGUAUCUCCACCAUGUCUUUGAAGAGGCACUAUUACCUUGCUAUCCUCCUUCCCUUACAUCUGCAGAAACUAAUGGGGCACACUUAUUCCAGAAAAGGGCCAGUGCGUCUUCAGCAGUGAAGCUUUUCCCACCCUGAGCAACUUCCAGACGGGGUGUUUUCCAUUUCAUUGACAUUAUCUGGAUGCUGACAAAAUGAAGAUCAUUUCUGGCGAAGGAAAUGACAGAUUAAAUUACGGCUGGUUGGCUGUUUCAAGUUCUGUUCCAGGAGCUGCUGCGAGCACUGGGAAGCACUGGUCCUGGGCAGCAGCUGCACAGCUGGUAGCCACAUUUGUGCUGCAGGCACGCUUUGAAGGACAGCGGCAGUAGAAGACCAGCAUGCGUAGUGGAGUGGGAGGUGUUCAGCAUCUGUACCUGCUCCGCUACCUUCAGAGGCCCAGUAACUUCGGUGGCUGCAUGAAGGCAUUGCAGAUUCAAGAAGUAUGAGAGGCAAGUGGAAGCUUUGGCCCCGUUCUCAGACAACAUAUGCUGGAGACAAUAGAAUCUUCUCAGAAAAGGAAGGCGAUUAUUGCAGUUUUCUAGCCAACAAUUACCUUGCUCUUAUAAAUUAUGUUGAUGUCCAUAACACACAUUGCUGAGCAUGUGAUAGGAGUCGUGGGCUGCCACUGACUUCCCUGCUGAUGCCUGAUAUGCUGCUCGUAAACCGUUUUGUUUAUCGUGGGGUACAAAGGUGUUCUAUUAAACGAGAUUGGCCUCAAAAUCAGAUACUGUGCUGUCCCUGUGUCCCCUUGCUUUAUCUGUAAUAUUCUGCUGCAAGUCAAAGCUGUAGCCAGUUAGAUUUCACUGUCUUAAUCUAACAUUUGCAAAUGGUGCCAGCCAAAAAGCCAUUUGUGUGGGCAAGUUUGCCAAGAUUUACUUAAGAAUUUUUAUAAAGAAUGAGUACAGUACCAAAAAUGUAGUUU